UGUUUCUCUCCCUUCUUUCCCACUGAGAAUAUCAUGCUGAUGGAGAUAGAAUGGGAAACCUCACUGUGUUAAACACAUUUGCUCUUGUUUUGUGAAAGUGAAUAUUGAGACAGUUUUGGGGGAUUCCUUAAAAAUUAUUUUUUCCUUAGAAAUUCUCUUCCAUGGCCUCUUCCCCUAAAGGUACCUGUGACCCUUACAUGCCAUAUUCUGCUGCAUGUGCUUGUGCAAAAGCAGAGUCCUGGUGGAGAUAGAGCCAGUGAGAAGUAGAGGGGCUGCUGAAAGGCCAAACACUCCAGCCUGUGAACUGUCAGAGAAUGGGGAGUUUAGAAGACUUGUACUAAACAACACCGUUAGAGGAAUCCAGAACAGAUAUUCAUGCUGUGUGACAGUCUUCCACCAACUGUUUUAUUUCCUGUUUAUAUAUGGAUAUUAGGUUGGAAGCUGUGCUUGUCAUGUAGGGGAGAAGGUGAAAACAUGGCCUGGCUUGGCACAGAACCCUGUCAGAAUUACACAGUCAGCUUUGGAUCUCCGUAUCAGCUUUAAAGCCUGCCCCUUUGCCAAGGUGUAACCUAUGCCAACAACUACUUAAGGUUCUGGAGGCUAUAUAAAAAAAAAAAUCUUGUUGAUUCUGAUGUCGUUGCCCUUAAGACAGCAAAGACUGUUCUAGUACAGGUUGUUUUGAUUCCUGCUUAAAGCACCUGGCAAAUUGGCAUGAAUUGCCAGAACUGAUGUGUUUUCAGCAUUCCUCUCACCUGCACUGUCUGUUCAUAGAUUACCAGCAUAUGCUUGCCUGGACUCUGGUGAUUUGUUAUGAGAAGAGGAUGCUAUAUGUGCUGGAAUAGCAGUCGGCUCUGUUGUAGCACAAUAUCUGGUUCUAAACUGUUGUAUGUGACACCCAGAAGAUUACAACAUUCAUUCUUGUCAUGCAGAUGUAGACUUCAGGUCUCAGAUGUUUUAAACUAUGAUCUUACUGUGCUGACUUUUAAUUGGAAGAUAGCCUGGAUGUGGGGUUCCAUAAAAUAAGCAGUAGAUCUGGGGUGCUUCUGAAUAUUAAUUUACACAUUUUUGUGUUACUGAUUUUUUUCUGAGUGUACAAGUUAUAUAAAAUUAUUUUUCAAGCUGUAAACUAGCUGUGAGUGACAGUCUUUACUGAAGAUCUUAAAUAAAAUUUAGUAGGUUUAAUUAAUUGUAUACUUAAUAAGGACUCUCUAUAAUAAAUACUUUCAGUGCAAGACCCUUGUAUGGCUUGGACUACAAUAAAUGGUUGUGCGUUUUAGGGUCUCUUCAUAAAAUACUCUUAAGUGUGGGCUUUGGCUUUAUGUCUGUGGAUGACCAAGGGAUGACAUCCAUGGUUUCUGUUACUAUUGUAAACAUUCUGCACUAUUUAAUAUCAAUAAUGUGUCUUCAUUUGUAAAUUAUUCUUAGAAAAUGUAAAAAUACUCUUUAAAAUCCUCACUUACAAUAAAGAUUUAACAAAAUAAACUCUAAA